GGGUGGCGGCGUGCUCGAAAAUGUUAAAGUUCUUAUUUCAUGGUAUAACUUUGGUAUGCUUGGACCUAGAGUCUUCAAACUUGACAUGAAGGUUGGCCAGGAUUAACAGAUGACCACUGGUCAUUUCAAGGUCAUUCAUUUGAAGGUCAAGGUCACUGUGACCUUCAAUAUAAAAAAUGUUAAAGUUGUUAUAACUUUGGUAUGCUUGGACCUAGAGUCUUGAAACUUGACAUGAAGGUUGGCCAUAACUAGUAAGUAACCACUGGUCAUUUCAAGGUCAUUCAUUUGAAGGUCAAGGUCACUGUGACCUUGAAUGUAAAAAUGUUAAAGUUCUUAUUUCAUGGUAUAACUUUGGUAUGCUUGGACCUAGAGUCUUCAAACUUGACAUGAAGGUUGGCCAGGAUUAACAGAUGACCACUGGUCAUUUCAAGGUCAUUCAUUUGAAGGUGAAGGUCACUGUGACCUUCAAUAUAAAAAUGUUAAAGUUGUUAUAACUUUGGUAUGCUUGGACCUAGAGUCUUGAAACUUGACAUGAAGGUUGGCCAGAACUAGUAAGUAACCACUGGACAUUUCAAGGUCAUUCAUUUGAAGGUCAAGGUCACUGUGACCUUGAAUGUAAAAAUGUUAAAGUUGUUAUAACUUUGGUAUGCUUGGACCUAGAGUCUUGAAACUUGACAUGAAGGUUGGCCAGAACUAGUAAGUAACCACUGGACAUUUCAAGGUCAUUCAUUUGAAGGUCAAGGUCACUGUGACCUUGAAUGUAAAAAUGUUAAAGUUCUUAUUUCAUGUUAUAACUUUGGUAUGCUUGUACCUAGAGUCUUCAAACUUGAAAUAAAGAUUGGCCAGUACUAGAAGAUGACCACUGGUCAUUUCAAUGUCAUUCAUUUGAAGGUCAAGGUCACUGUGACCUUAAAUGUUAAAAUGUUAAAAUUGUUAUAACUUUGGUAUGCUUGGACAUAGAGUCUUCAAACUUGACAUGAAGGUUUGCAAGCACACUUAGAUGACCACUGGUCAUUUCAAGGUCAUUCAUUCUAAGGUCAAGGUCACUGUGACCUUGAAUGUAAAAAUGUUAAAGUUUGCUCAUGCCUUGAAAAGUACUUACAUUUCAUUUUGACCUUUGAACAAUAUUUCAGUAAUUUAAGUAUUGCAUUGACAAAAACACGAAAGGUACUUUCCUGUCAUUUAAAUCAAAAAUCCGGCUUCAAUGCGGUCAUCUCCGACCGCGGAACUCUUGUUAUUGUUUAAUUUGAGUUACAAUGCUAUGACGUUAAAUUUUAUUUACACUUGAAUGUAUUAUGAAUAUUGCUGGGCCAAGUGUGAGGUUGAGCGCUCUAUAACCAGGUUUAAACCCCCAAUGCUUUGCAUUGACCGUUCCAAGGCGGUGACCCCAGCUUUAUUCAUAUUUUGUGUUUAUGUUGGUUUGUAUUGUGCUGUAUUGUACUGUUUUGUACUGUCUGGGCAAUCGGUCACUUGCCUUAAAUAAAGGACCAACUAAUUGUUUUUAAUGAAAAUUCAAUACUGCUCCAGCAGCUGGAGUUUCACUUCUUUAUAUUGUACUUAUGCUUUUGUAGGUGAAUUCAUAUGAAUAAUUAUUGACACAUUUAAACAGUAAUGGGUUGUUCAUUUGUUCAAAUGAUUUUCGAUUGUUAUUGUAAAAACGAUAAAAAGGCGGCAGAGAAUUCUUUAUAACAUUUUUUCCUGUUUUGAAUAUUUAAACUAUGCAUUUUCUUUUCAGAUAACGUCUUCUUCAAUGAUUGCUUGCGAGGAUAAAGGCUUUUUUGUGAGUUGGGAUCCUUAUGAUUGUAAAGAGGCUAUUAAUUGAUACCUGAUAUACUACAUGAACAAACCUGAGCGCAUGCAAUACAUUGUAAUUUUACAAAUACAAAUACAAAUACAAAUACACUUGUAUAGCGCAAAAACUAUAAAUAUUCUAUUGCGCUUCACAAAACGUCCUAUAUACACAUAUUUAGAUAUCCUCUAGUGAGCUUACAGGUUACAGCACGCAUCUAAGUGUUAUGGAAACGCUCAAAUAGGUAGGUUUUGAGUUUGCUCUUAAAUGUUGUUUCCGAGUCAGCCGAUUUCAAAUGUCCGGGAAGCAAAUUCCACCAUUUCGGCCCUACCACUGCAAGUGACCUGUCGGCGAUCUUUGUUCUAUGCCUUGGCACACGGAACUUGAUGCCUACUGAUGAUCGCAAGCGUUAGCUGCCUUGUUCAUGUGUAAACAUCGAUUGGAGGUAAAUUGGCGCAGUGCCCUUUACGACCCGGAAAACAAUGACAAGCACAUUGAACAUUAUUCUUGCCUGCACUGGCAGCCAAUGUAAUCGUUUUAGCAAGUCGGAACUACGUUCUUCAUACGAUGCGCAGGUUACUUACCUGGCAGCAUUGUUUUUGAAUUCUUUGUAAUUUGUUCAGCUGAUAUGCCGGAAUGUCAGCAAAAAGUCCAUUACAGAAGUCAAGAUGGGAAUGAAUUAGACCAUGAACAAGAAUUUCAGUGGAUUUUUGUGUCAAAUGUUUCCGGAUACACCGUAAGUUUCUUAACUGGCAAUAGGCGACUUGGCAUUUCUUAAGAAUAUGCCGAUCAAAAUUUAAGGUACUUGACAUAUGCACCCCAAGGUCGCGAACAUUGUCAACACACUUCACCUCACAACCACCAACUAUCACACUAGUAAUGUUUAGCUUUUCUAAUUGUUGUUUUGUCCCAUAAGCUAUAAUUUCAGUUUUUGCAUUGUUCAUUUUGAGCUUGUAUCUAGUCAUCCAGUUAAUGAUAUUUUCAAGACAGUUAUUCAGUUGGUUAAUGAUGUUAAAUUCACUUUGUUGAUUUCCAGCUUUUAUUUUAAAGGCAGCUUUAUGGUCAUCAGCAUAACCGUAGAGGUCAGCUGAAUAGUUUUGAACAACCCUGUUUAGCCCAGCGAUAUACAUUGUGAAGAUAACCGGGCCGGCGCAAGAGCCCUGUGGGACGCCACAGCGUAGUGGCAUGGUGUCAGACGAAGCAAUGCCAAUCUUGACCUUCAUGGUUCUGUCAGUAAGGUAGGAUUCAAUCCACCUGAGUGCAGUGUUGGUAAUACCGAAGUCAUCUUGCAUCAGCUGAAGAGCUGAAGGAAUGUCUAUGGUGUCAAAUGCAGCGCUAAGGUCAAUCAUCACUACAAGUGUCACGAGAUUCAGAUCAAUUGAUUCAAGAAUAUCACCGUACAUCUUCAGCAUCGCUGUUUCAACUCCGUGAUAUCUCCUGUAAGCACUUCAACUUGUCGUUCCAGGACAACGAACCCAGAGUCUUUCAUUCUGUGUCGGAUUAUUUAAGAGUGCUUAUAGAAGAUUGUGCAGUGAGAUCUAAAAACAUUGAAAGUUCAUGGACAGCCGAUGGAAAUGUUCUGAUCAGGUUAACUGAAAACGGUCAAUCAAUCAUCAAACGCAUCAGCUGUGCAUCAGAACUUGAACAGUACAAUAGCAGCUAAUUAUAGAACUUCGAAUCUUUUUUGUUCAGUUUAUUUUCAUUCGAUGCUGACCUCUUUAGCUGCACGAAUAUAACGAAAUCAUAUUUCUUGUGUGCUAUCUACUGAGCGUAUGAUUCUGUUUACUACAAUGGCAUAGCCCGUUUUCCUGUGAAACUAUCUACCUUAAAUCAAAGUAACUCUGAAUAUUUGUUUAAAAGCGCCCUAAGCCGAUAUUGUAAAACAUCAAUGUUAAUCUGGUUAAGCUUAUUAACAAGGUUAAAUAAUUUGUAAAAGUUAUCAAUAACAAAUUCAAUAAAAAAUCUCAAUAAAAUUACAACAUUUACUUUGUCAAAUGUGUAGUAUCUUAUUAUAAGUAAAGCAUAAACAAGUCACUUUCUACUAAAAAAGUAAAAUGACAGUUUUUCUAUCCUAUUUUUGCUUCAUUUAGCGUAUAGCCAAUUCAUAAAAUGUUUGUUUUUUGUUUCUAAAGAAGUAUCUUACUAUGCACAAAAUGACGAAACUAGUCAGCUGACUGAGAUUAUACUAUUUAGGGCCUCAGGCUUCAUUAACUGACUAUAUAUUGUGCUCAAAAUAAAAUGCGUUUAUAUUGCGUGUGCAAAAAUUUACUAUUACAGUGUAUAAUACAACGCUCAACCGUUGUCAAUAUCAUGCCCUUGGGCGCUCGUUUGAGAGUAGAAAUUACAGAUACGGUUUUUAUAACUAUUUUUUGUUGGUGUAAUUGUUGUAGUACUUUAUUGCAUUGUUUGUUUGUACUACUAAAUAACUGUUUUUUGUGAAAUGCUUACACAUUUUGAUAUAUGUUAGUGAACGCUUGUGUGAAUUAUCAUCUCUGUACAGGCAAUUACCAUAACCACUCAAAAUCCCUUCUUAUUGUAGCUUUGACGGCUCGUUCUUUUUUAUACUGACUUGACUUUAUCUUUUGCUCCUAGGCUAUUAUAAUUUACUCUUUAUACACCCAACAUAACCUCACGUAUCAUAAUAAUGAUACCAAAAAUAUCAUCAUCCAUUACCAUUUGCUUCUUUUCCCUUCCAUCUUCCAAUCUCUCUGAUAUCUUUUUCUUCAAUGUGCAGCAGUUCUGUAUCAAACAACGAACACAAAUCGUAACAACGUAUCCGUCGCAAUGUGUCCUCGUCGCUAAUCGCAACACGCGUAUCAUGACAGCGUUUCUGGCCAAUCUUGUAUUUAUUAGAGGUUAUUAUUAUGUUGUACAUUAAACAGAGACCAGUAAACGCUGUCAUGGUUGCGUAUAGAUCACCAGCUAUCUUUCCAUUUUUCCUGAACUUAUUAUAUGUAUGUCAAUUUUGGCUUUCUCAUUACAAAUUUAUGUAUACACGUCUAUGAACACAGCACUGAGAAUUGUACAUCCAAGCAAACGUGUUCUGAUAGGAAAAAACAUACAUAGGAUAUUAUUUUCCUCAAAAAGGUUCUAACAUGUUUCUGUGUGCUGCAACAUGUUGUUGGAUCUCAAUAGUCUUAUUGCGAUCAGGUGAUAUUCAUCCUAACCCUGGGCCAACUUUGUCUGAUCUAUCUUCUAACACAGAUGCAAGCAGUUCUUUUUCCUUUUUAAAUUUGUCGGCAACAAACCACAUCCGUUUUGUACAUUACAAUAUUCAAAUUUUGGUGCAUAAAAUUGAUGUUCUUCACACAGGACUACGAGAAUUUGACAUAAUUUGUUUUACCGAAACAUGGUUAAAUAGUUCUAUUCUAUCUGCUGAUCUCCUCUUUGACUGUUUCAACAAACCAAUUCGCCAGGAUCGCGCAUUCGAUUCACACGGUGGCAUUGCUAUAUACGUAAAUGAAAGUAUUGUCUUAAAACGCAGACAAGAUUCUUGAACUGAAUAAUAUUGAAUGUAUUUGGAUUGAAGUUUUUCCCUCAAAAUAUAAAUCCAUUUAGUUUGACGUGUUUUAUAGACCGCCUAGUGCGGAUAGAUCAUAUAUGAUUUAUAUUGAAGAGUCUAUAGGGCUAGCCAGAGACACGCGAAUAAAUGAUAUUAUUAUAACAUGUGAUUUUAACAUAAAUGCUCUAGCUGAA